AUACGUAGGGGGCAAGCGUUGUCCGGAAUUAUUGGGCGUAAAGGGUGCGUAGGCGGCCUUUCAAGUUGGAUGUGAAAUCCCCAUGCUUAACAUGGGAAUUGCAUGCAAAACUGGAGGGCUUGAGUGUGGAAGAGGUAAGUGGAAUUCCCAGUGUAGCGGUGAAAUGCGUAGAUAUUGGGAGGAACACCAGUGGCGAAGGCGACUUACUGGGCCACAACUGACGCUGAGGCACGAAAGCGUGGGGAGC
rnacentral:rRNA from 1 species